UAAGGAAUAUUGGUCAAUGGACGCAAGUCUGAACCAGCCAUGCCGCGUGAAGGAUGAAGGCCCUCUGGGUUGUAAACUUCUUUUAUGGGGGACGAAAAAAGGGAAUUCUUUCUCACUUGACGGUACCCUAGGAAUAAGCACCGGCUAACUCCGUGCCAGCAGCCGCGGUAAUACGGAGGGUGCAAGCGUUAUCCGGAUUUACUGGGUUUAAAGGGUGCGUAGGUGGGUAUUUAAGUCAGCGGUGAAAUCUCCAGGCUUAACCUGGAAAUUGCCAUUGAUACUAUUUAUCUUGAAUUAUCUGGAGGUGAGCGGAAUAUGUCAUGUAGCGGUGAAAUGCUUAGAUAUGACAUAGAACACCAAUUGCGAAGGCAGCUCACUACGGAUAUAUUGACACUGAGGCACGAAAGCGUGGGGAUCAAACAGGAUUAGAUACCCCCGUAGUCC
rnacentral:rRNA from 1 species